rnacentral:tRNA from 1 species
CAGCACCUGGAACAGCGGGCUAUGGCUCAGGCUGCGUUGCGGUUGCAGCGCGUCCACCAACUGUUCGAACGGCAAGUCCUGA